rnacentral:rRNA from 1 species
UAGUUUGACUGGGGCGGUCUCCUCCUAAAGAGUAACGGAGGAGCACGAAGGUUGGCUAAUCCUGGUCGGACAUCAGGAGGUUAGUGCAAUGGCAUAAGCCAGCUUGACUGCGAGCGUGACGGCGCGAGCAGGUGCGAAAGCAGGUCAUAGUGAUCCGGUGGUUCUGAAUGGAAGGGCCAUCGCUCAACGGAUAAAAGGUACUCCGGGGAUAACAGGCUGAUACCGCCCAAGAGUUCAUAUCGACGGCGGUGUUUGGCACCUCGAUGUCGGCUCAUCACAUCCUGGGGCUGAAGUAGGUCCCAAGGGUAUGGCUGUUCGCCAUUUAAAGUGGUACGCGAGCUGGGUUUAGAACGUCGUGAGACAGUUCGGUCCCUAUCUGCCGUGGGCGCUGGAGAACUGAGGGGGGCUGCUCCUAGUACGAGAGGACCGGAGUGGACGCAUCACUGGUGUUCGGGUUGUCAUGCCAAUGGCACUGCCCGGUAGCUAAAUGCGGAAGAGAUAAGUGCUGAAAGCAUCUAAGCACGAAACUUGCCCCGAGAUGAGUUCUCCCUGACCCUUUAAGGGUCCUGAAGGAACGUUGAAGACGACGACGUUGAUAGGCCGGGUGUGUAAGCGCAGCGAUGCGUUGAGCUAACCGGUACUAAUGAACCGUGAGGCUUAACCUUACAACGCCGAAG